GAUGAACGCUAGCGGCAGGCUUAAUACAUGCAAGUCGAACGGCAGCGGGUCCAGCAAUGGAUGCCGGCGAGUGGCGCACGGGUGCGUAACACGUAUGCAACCUACCUUUAACCGGGACAUAACCUCGAGAAAUCGUGGCUAAUAUUCCAUAAUAUCUUUGAAUCGCAUGGUUUGAAGAUCAAAAUUCCGAUGGUUUUAGAUGGGCAUGCGCGACAUUAGCUAGUUGGUGAGGUAAUGGCUCACCAAGGCUACGAUGUUUAGGGGGUCUGAGAGGAUGAUCCCCCACACUGGUACUGAGACACGGACCAGACUCCUACGGGAGGCAGCAGUAAGGAAUAUUGGGCAAUGGGCGCAAGCCUGACCCAGCCAUGCCGCGUGCAGGAUGACAGCCCUACGGGUUGUAAACUGCUUUUAUACGGGAAAAAACCCUCUGACGUGUCAGAGGCUGAUGGUACCGUAAGAAUAAGCAUCGGCUAACUCCGUGCCAGCAGCCGCCGUAA
rnacentral:rRNA from 1 species